rnacentral:rRNA from 1 species
AUUGAACGCUGGCGGCAGGCCUAACACAUGCAAGUCGAACGAGUGGCGGACGGGUGAGUAAUGUCUGGGAAACUGCCUGAUGGAGGGGGAUAACUACUGGAAAAGGUAGCUAAUACCGCAUACCAUCAGAUGUGCCAAGAUGGGAUUAGCUAGGUGGUGGUGUAACGGCUCACCAAGGGGAAGAUCCCUAGCUGGUCUGAGAGGAGGACCAUCCACACUGGGACUGAGACACGGUCCAGACUCCUACGGGAGGCAUCAUGGGGGAAUUUUGCACAAUGGGCGCAAGCCUGAUGCAGCCAUGCCGCGUGUAUGAAGAAGGCCUUCGGGUUGUAAAGUACUUUCAGCGGGGAGGCGUUACCCGCAGAAGAAGCACCGGCUAACUCCGUGCCAGCAGCCGCGGUAAUUC